rnacentral:rRNA from 1 species
GACGUAGGGUGCGAGCGUUGUCCGGAUUUAUUGGGCGUAAAGAGCUCGUAGGCGGUUUGUCGCGUCGAAUGUGAAAACCCGGGGCUCAACCCCGGGCCUGCAUUCGAUACGGGCAGACUAGAGUUCGGUAGGGGAGUCUGGAAUUCCUGGUGUAGCGGUGAAAUGCGCAGAUAUCAGGAGGAACACCGGUGGCGAAGGCGGGACUCUGGGCCGAUACUGACGCUGAGGAGCGAAAGCGUGGGGAGCGAACAGG